rnacentral:tRNA from 1 species
GUUCCCGUAGCUUAAUGGAUAAAGCGUGCCCCUCCGGAGGGUGAGACUGUGCGUUCGACUCGCACCGGGAACA